GCAUUUCGUAGAAACAAGGUAAUUCUAAGAUUACGAUGUAGUUGUAGCCAAUCCGCUGUCAGUCGCCGAAUUAGAAAGAGAGAAGCUGGACUAGCGUUUCGCCCCCUCAGAUGUUCCAGGCAAUAAAGCAUGGUUGCAGCGACAAAGUAAAAUGGAUUGAAGACCUAAACAGACCCCAUUUGCUCGACAGCACCACAUGCAGUCAUAAACAUUUACGCGUGUGAAAAUGACAGUGACACAUGUCACACACAUGUUUAUAAAAUUAUGGAGAAAUCCCCUGGAGAUGAGACACAAUUCCGCUUCUCCUGAAUAACCAGU